CUGGUGUCCUGCUUCUCUGCUCUGCCUGGGAGGAUGCUGAAUCAGAACAUUAAAAUAGUCUCUCAACUGAAGCCAAGUAAAGACAUUUAUGAAGUGCCUCCUAGAUAAAGCAAUGAAUAAGAAAGACAAGAUCCCUGCCCUCUUGGAGGUUACAUUCCACUGGUGGCUGGGGGAAUUGGCCCAGGAGAGGAAAAGCUUGU